rnacentral:rRNA from 1 species
UACGUAGGGCGCGAGCGUUGUCCGGAAUUAUUGGGCGUAAAGAGCUCGUAGGCGGUUUGUCGCGUCUGCUGUGAAAACCCGAGGCUCAACCUCGGACUUGCAGUGGGUACGGGCAGACUUGAGUGCGGCAGGGGAGACUGGAAUUCCUGGUGUAGCGGUGAAAUGCGCAGAUAUCGGGAGGAACACCAAUGGCGAAGGCGGUUGCCUGGGGCUUUGCUGACGCUGAUGAGCGAAAGCGUGGGGAGCGAUCAGG